rnacentral:rRNA from 1 species
AUUGAACGCUGGCGGCAUGCUUUACACAUGCAAGUCGAACGGUAACAGGCCGCAAGGUGCUGACGAGUGGCGAACGGGUGAGUAAUGCAUCGGAACGUGCCCAGUCGUGGGGGAUAACUACUCGAAAGAGUAGCUAAUACCGCAUACGAUCUAUGGAUGAAAGCGGGGGACCGUAAGGCCUCGCGCGAUUGGAGCGGCCGAUGUCAGAUUAGGUAGUUGGUGGGGUAAAGGCUCACCAAGCCAACGAUCUGUAGCUGGUCUGAGAGGACGACCAGCCACACUGGGACUGAGACACGGCCCAGACUCCUACGGGAGGCAGCAGUGGGGAAUUUUGGACAAUGGGCGCAAGCCUGAUCCAGCAAUGCCGCGUGCAGGAAGAAGGCCUUCGGGUUGUAAACUGCUUUUGUUCGGAACGAAACGGCUCUGGUUAAUACCCGGGGCUAAUGACGGUACCGUAAGAAUAAGCACCGGCUAACUACGUG